AGGACGAACGCUGGCGGCGUGCUUAACACAUGCAAGUCGAGCGGUAAGGCCUUUCGGGGUACACGAGCGGCGAACGGGUGAGUAACACGUGGGUGAUCUGCCCUGCACUCUGGGAUAAGCCUGGGAAACUGGGUCUAAUACCGGAUAUGACCUGCUCUCGCAGUGGGGGUGGGUAGGAAAGAUUUAUCGGUGCAGGAGUCGGGCCCGCGGCCUAUCGAGUCUUGGUUGGUGGGGUAAUCGGCCUACCGAAGGCGACGGACGGGUAGCCGACCUGAAG
rnacentral:rRNA from 1 species